rnacentral:tRNA from 1 species
GGAGAGGUGGCAGAGUGGCUGAUCGCGCACGCUUGGAAAGCGUGUUCAGGGUUAAACCUGACGCGGGUUCAAAUCCCGCUCUCUCCG